UAUAAAAUGGAUGAUUGGGUUGGAUGUCUGUGUUCUAAUGUCGGCGUCCCAUUGUCCGCGUCCUAUGGGUCACUGCCUAAUGUCUGUGGUCUAUUCCCUUUGCGGUUCAGUGUUAAGAAUAUGUAUCUACCUAUCAAGGUCUGCAUUAAAUUGUACUUUCUACUUUCUGUAAUGCGCAUACAAAAAAUAUCCACAGAAUUAUGUAAGAAUUUAGGAAUUAUAUUCCAUUAAAAAAAUUUAGCUUAAGAACAACGAUCUUACCUUGCAUAUGAUCACCACGUCCGCAAGUCCAGUACAUACAGCAGUCAUCAUCCGGUACACAAACAUAACAGCGGUGUCAGAGGUGGGAUACAUAAAAACAACAACAAAGAUAAACAUGAGCUAUCAGCGGAACUUCUUCAAACACUUUCGGGUAUGAUCGCUGCCACUAUCCGUGAUUCUACAAGGUAACUUCUUACCAGGAAUGACAGAACAUCAUCUCCUUAACCCCGGCACCCAUAGUUCUCGAUGCCACCGUAUCGUGCUGGCGACGACAUCACUAUUGGGGACUAUUUCACGCGAUUUACUUGGGCACGUUGCUUGAGUUUCACCGCCCAUCCUCUCGAGAGCACGUGAUGUUUCUGUAGUCCUACGAGCAGCUUAUGCUAAGGAAAUCGACCCCAAAGUCGCAUCGGGAUUCUACAAGAAGGUACUACGAGUGGGCGUCGUCACCUGGAUGUCACAGACGCAUACACUGGUCUCGAGGUUGACGUCGACGAUGAAUUCAGCUACGCCUUGACGCACAUACAGUGAAUUUU